rnacentral:rRNA from 1 species
CGUCUAUAUACGUAUAGCAUAUCAAUAAGCGGAGGAAAAGAAACUAACAAGGAUUCCCCUAGUAACGGCGAGUGAAGCGGGAAGAGCUCAAAUUUGAAAUCUUCAAGGGUUUCCCUUGACGAAUUGUAGUUUAAAGAAGUGUUUUCUGUUAGAGAGGUGGUAAAAGUUCUUUGGAAUAGGACAUCAUAGAGGGUGAGAAUCCCGUAUUUGAUCACUUUCUACUAACGUUGUGAUACACUUUCAAAGAGUCGGAUUGUUUGGGAAUGCAGUCCAAAAUGGGUGGUAAAUUUCAUCUAAAGCUAAAUAUUGGCGAGAGACCGAUAGCGAACAAGUACCGUGAGGGAAAGAUGAAAAGAACUUUGAAAAGAGAGUUAAACAGUACGUGAAAUUGUCAAAAGGGAAGCGUUUGACACCAGUGUUGUUUUUCCGAAAAUCAAUUAAGAAUGGCCGGAUUUUAAGUUUCAUGACCUUAAAAGCUUGUUUCUUAUUUUUCUUGUCUUUCUUAAUGCACUUUUCGGCUAACAAGUCAACAUCAAUUUCUUUUGUUGUAAAAGGUUAAGAGGAAGGUGGCUUUACUUUCGGGUAAAGUGUUUAUAGCCUUUUAACUCUGCAAUCGGAGAGAUUGAGGUCUGCAGCGUAGAUCCUUCGGGGCUAGAUACGUUUGUGCUAAGUUAUAGCUUUUCAUAGACAACUUGUUGACUAUGUUUAGUCUUGUAGCUUACUCGCUUAUGGCUAUUUUACCUACGCUUAGGAUGU